rnacentral:lncRNA from 1 species
GGGCUAUCAAGAAAAUUGGUUUUUCUGGAAUACAAAAUCCUUGAGUUAAGAGAGUUUAAAUCAUUAUUCAAAGUUCAAGCACACUCUCUUUUUAACCAAUCUCACUUAUUCCCAACUUUUUCCCUUUUUCAUUGAGUUCUUUUUACAUGCUUUUUUUUUUCUUCUUUUCUUUUCUUUUCACAUGCAUUUUUCUUUUUCAUAUUUUUAACUCAAUGCU